AACGAACGCUGGCGGCAUGCCUAACACAUGCAAGUCGAACGAAGGCUUCGGCCUUAGUGGCGCACGGGUGCGUAACGCGUGGGAAUCUGCCCUUUGGUUCGGAAUAACAGCUGGAAACGGCUGCUAAUACCGGAUGAUUACGAAAGUCCAAAGAUUUAUCGCCAGAGGAUGAGCCCGCGUUGGAUUAGGUAGUUGGUGGGGUAAAGGCCUACCAAGCCGACGAUCCAUAGCUGGUCUGAGAGGAUGAUCAGCCACACUGGGACUGAGACACGGACCAGACUACUACGGGAGGCAGCAGUGGGGAAUAUAGGAAAAUGGGCGCAAGCAUGAACCAGCAAUGACGCGAGAGUGAUGAAGGCCCUAGGGUAGUAAAGCUCUAUUAAACGGGAAGAUAAUGACUGUACCGGGAGAAUAAGCCCCGGCUAACUCCGUG
rnacentral:rRNA from 1 species